GUCCCAGUGGCCGAGUGGUUAAGGCGAUGCCCUGCUAUAGGCAUUGGGUUUUACCUGCGCAGGUUCGAAUCCUGUCUGUGACG
rnacentral:tRNA from 1 species